UGCCACUCACAUCAAUUGGUUGGAUGGAAAAAGUCUGCUCAAUAAUUUUUCCAACAACCGGAAGCAAAACUAUAAAAUGACUUUCUUCAAAUGGUUUUCCGAUGAAAGUAACACAUCAGCCAAUCAUAUUUCAGAGGCUUUAAAAGAAGACAUCUGGCCAAACCCUAUACUGUAUUA